rnacentral:rRNA from 1 species
UGGGGAAUCUUGCACAAUGGGGGCAACCCUGAUGCAGCGACGCCGCGUGAGCGAUGAAGCCCUUCGGGGCGUAAAGCUCUUUCGACCGGAACGAUAAUGACGGUACCGGGAGAAGAAGCUGCGGCUAACUACGUGCCAGCAGCCGCGGUAAUACGUAGGCAGCGAGCGUUGUUCGGAGUUACUGGGCGUAAAGAGUGCGUAGGCGGCGAGCCAAGUUUGGUGUGAAAUCUCCCGGCUUAACCGGGAGGGUGCGCCGAAAACUGGUUGGCUGGAGUAUGGGAGAGGAAAGCGGAAUUCCUGGUGUAGCGGUGAAAUGCGUAGAUAGCAGGAGGAACACCUGCGGUGUAGACAGCUUUCUGGACCAAAACUGACGCUGAGGCACGAAAGCGUGGGUAGCAAACA